rnacentral:rRNA from 1 species
AUUGAACGCUGGCGGCAGGCCUAACACAUGCAAGUCGAACGGUAACAGGAAGCAGCUUGCUGCUUUGCUGACGAGUGGCGGACGGGUGAGUAAUGUCUGGGAAACUGCCUGAUGGAGGGGGAUAACUACUGGAAACGGUAGCUAAUACCGCAUAACGUCGCAAGACCAAAGAGGGGGACCUUCGGGACUCUUGCCAUCGGAUGUGCCCAGAUGGGAUUGGCUAGUAGGGCGGGUAACGGCUCCCCUAGUCGUCGAUCCCUAGCUGGUAUGAGAGGAUGACCAGCCACACUGGAUCUGAGACCCGGCACAGCGUCGUACGGGAGGCAGCAGUGGGGAUUUUUGCACAAUGAACGCAAGCCUGAUGCAGCCAUGCCGCGUGUAUGAAGAAUGCCUUCGGGUUGUAAAGUAAUUUCAGCGGGGAGGAAGGAAGUUUAGUUAAUACCUUGGCCAAUUGACGUUGCCCGCAGAAGACGCACCGGCUAACUCCGUG